AAACAAAGACGCGCCACUAAUUAGGUCUACUCGGGUCCAAUGAAGCCUCUUCAGUGCGGUGACGUUGGUGUUUUUUUUAGCUCAAAAAAAGCUGUUGUGUGGUGAGAGUUUUGGCGCCAUGCAUCACACAAGUGGGUGCUACACAUUGGUUGGUGGUUAGCGAGGCACCCCUUCAAUGUAAAGCGCUUUGGGUACCUUGAAAAGCGCUAUAUAAAGGACUCAGUGGUAAAACGAGAGGGUGAAGGCGUGUGGUAGGAUGGUAGGGGAGCUAAGGACGACCACCACCACUGUGAAAUGAAGAUUUGCUGUCUGCCGGUGGUAUGGGCACCAAACUAUAAGUGCGGAAGAAAAAGAUUUAUUGGAGGCACCAGUAAAGGUAAUCAAUGGAAGGCAGCAUCUCGAGGAUUAGGGAACUAUUGGAAAUCCCUUUUUGAUCAUACACAUCUCAGAUAAUAUGUUCACUGUGACCAUUGUUAAACCUGCCAUGCAUGUUUGUUUUCCUUUGAUGUAGCCUACCACACAUUCUGUAAACCGUUUUAGUGAAGCAU
ensembl:lncRNA